CCUACGGGUGGCAGCAGUGAGGAAUAUUGGUCAAUGGGCGUAAGCCUGAACCAGCCAUGCCGCGUGCGGGAUGACGGUUCUAUGAAUCGUAAACCUCUUUUAUACGGGAAUAAACUUUAGUACGUGUCUUCUUUUGUAUGUACUUUAUGAAUAAGGAUCGGCUAACUCCGUGCCAGCAGCCGCGGUAAUACGGAGGAUCCGAGCGUUAUCCGGAUUUAUUGGGUUUAAAGGGUUCGUAGGCGGCCUUUUAAGUUAGAGGUGAAAGUAUGUGGCUUAAACAGAGAACUGCCGUUGAUACUGGUGGUCGUGAGAGUGUGUGAGGUAGGCGGAAUGCAUGGUGUAGCGGUGAAAUGCUUAGAGAUCACGCAGAACCCCGAUUGCGAAGGCAGCUUGCCAAUCCAUAACUGACGCUGAGGCACGAAAGCGUGGGGAGCAAACAGGAUUAGAUACCCCUGUAGUC
rnacentral:rRNA from 1 species